rnacentral:rRNA from 1 species
AGGGAAUCUUCCACAAUGGACGCAAGUCUGAUGGAGCAACGCCGCGUGAGUGAAGAAGGUCUUCGGAUCGUAAAGCUCUGUUGUUGGUGAAGAAGGAUAGAGGCAGUAACUGGUCUUUAUUUGACGGUAAUCAACCAGAAAGUCACGGCUAACUACGUGCCAGCAGCCGCGGUAAUACGUAGGUGGCAAGCGUUGUCCGGAUUUAUUGGGCGUAAAGCGAGCGCAGGCGGAAUGAUAAGUCUGAUGUGAAAGCCCACGGCUCAACCGUGGAACUGCAUCGGAAACUGUCAUUCUUGAGUGCAGAAGAGGAGAGUGGAACUCCAUGUGUAGCGGUGGAAUGCGUAGAUAUAUGGAAGAACACCAGUAGCGAAGGCGGCUCUCUGGUCUGCAACUGACGCUGAGGCUCGAAAGCAUGGGUAGCGAACAGGAUUAGAUACCCUGGUAGUCC